UCCUACGGGAGGCAGCAGUGAGGAAUAUUGGGCAAUGGACGAAAGUCUGACCCAGCAACGCCGCGUGGAGGAUGAAUGCCGUAAGGUUGUAAACUCCUUUUGAGAGGGACGAAAACCCAUAUUUCGUAAGGGAUAUGGUUUGACUGUACCUCUAGAAGAAGCCCCGGCUAACUACGUGCCAGCAGCCGCGGUAAUACGUAGGGGGCAAGCGUUGUCCGGAUUUACUGGGUGUAAAGGGCAGGUAGGCGGCUAUGUAAGUUGGAGGUGAAAUCCUGCGGCUCAACCGCAGAACUGCCUUCAAAACUGCAUGGCUUGAGGCUAGAAGAGGAGAGCGGAAUUCCCGGUGUAAGGGUGAAAUCUGUAGAUAUCGGGAGGAACACCAGUGGCGAAGGCGGCUCUCUGGUUUAGCCCUGACGCUGAUCUGUGANAGCUAGGGGAGCAAACAGGAUUAGAUACCCUAGUAGUCCAAGCCG
rnacentral:rRNA from 1 species